rnacentral:lncRNA from 1 species
CUUAUGAGUACAAGUCACCACCUCCUCCACCAAUUGAGCACAAACCACCACCUUAUGAGUAUAAAUCACCACCUCCACCACCACAUGAGCACAAGGCUCCUCCGUACGAGUAUAAGUCACCCCCUCCGCCAUCACCAUCACCUCCACCACCUUAUGAGUAUAAAUCACCACCUCCACCACCACAUGAGCACAAGGCUCCUCCGUACGAGUAUAAGUCACCCCCUCCGCCAUCACCAUCACCUCCACCACCUUAUGAGUAUAAAUCACCACCUCCACCACCACAUGAGCACAAGGCUCCUCCGUACGAGUAUAAGUCACCCCCUCCGCCAUCACCAUCACCACCACCUCCUUAUGAGUAUAAAUCACCACCUCCCCCACCACAUGAGCACAAGGCUCCUCCGUACGAGUAUAUUUCACCACCCCCACCAUCACCAUCACCACCACCUCCUUAUGAGUAUAAAUCACCACCUCCACCACCACAUGAGCACAAGGCUCCUCCUUAUGAGUACAAGUCACCACCACCUCCAUACGUAUACAAGUCACCACCUCCACCACCAUAUGAACACAAGGUUCCUCCCUACGAGUACAAGUCACCACCUCCACCAUCACCAUCACCACCACCUCCUUACAUAUACAAAUCACCACCUCCACCACCACCAUAUGAGCAUAAGUCUCCUCCUUAUGUGUACAAGUCCCCUCCCCCACCACCAUAUGAGCACAAGUCUCCACCUUACGUAUAUAAGUCACCCCCUCCUCCUUCACCGUCACCACCACCCCCAUAUGUAUAUAAGUCACCACCACCUCCACCACCAUACGAGCAUAAGUCUCCUCCUUAUGUGUACAAGUCACCUCCUCCUCCACCACCAUAUGAACACAAAUCUCCACCCUACUAUUACAGCUCUCCUCCUCCACCUCCUUACUACUAUAAAUCUCCCCCACCACCUUCACCAUCUCCUCCACCACCUUAUUAUUAUGAGUCUCCACCACCACCAGUAAAGUCUCCAUCUCCAAAGCCUUACUAUUAUAAAUCUCCUCCACCACCAUCUCCUGUACCCCAUCCACCUUACUACUACAACUCUCCUCCUCCACCAUCUCCUUCACCUCCUCCACCUUACUAUUAUAAUUCUCCACCACCUCCUUCACCGUCUCCUCCACCACCGUACUACUAUAAAUCUCCUCCUCCUCCAUCUCCUAAACCGCACCCCCCUUACUACUAUAACUCUCCACCACCUCCAGUAAAAUCUCCACCUCAUCCAACACCUUACUACUACAAAUCUCCACCACCACCCACUCCAUACUAUUAUAAUUCUCCUCCUCCACCUGUCGUGUAUCCUCCACAUCCCCACCAUCACCCAUUGAUUGUGAAGGUUGUGGGCAAAGUCUACAGCUAUAAGUGCUAUGACUGGGAGUAUCCUGAAAAGUCACACAACAAGAAGCAUCUCAAAGGUACACGACAUUCUCUACGUCAUUUUUUAGUUCGAAAGUCUUAUUAUUGUUACAAUUGAAUUGUCAAUUCUUAUGCUUUUGAGCAUUGCUCGUUAUUAUCUUCAUUUGGCAUUCACUUUUUUUCGUUAGAGAAUGCACGUCUUUGUCUAGUAGAACUUGUGCUUCAUUUUACACAAGCAUUUGCUAUUAGUACUCACAGUAUUUUGUCGCUAAACUUUUCGUGAUGCUUGCAGUUCCAAUCAUAUUAGAUAACUCUAGAGCAUGUAGAAAUUAAAUGUUAGAAUGCAUUAACUUAAUUUAUCUUGAACCGACCACCUAAUCGGAAAACCAAAAUGAAUGCAUUAAUAUUUGAUGCUUAAAUUAGUAAAGUGUCAAUUAGACUUUUUAAUAAUGUAUAGAAUUGGAGAACCUUUUGUUACAGUUGAUAGGUAAGAUACAAUCAAUGUCUCAAUGUACAUUCACCAUCACAUUACUAAAAAAGAACCUUUUCUUAUUCAAAACUGGUUGUAGCAUGUAAUUAACACCAACACUCAACAUGAAAAUGAUAGUUUUCUUUUUCUUCAUAAAUAAACAUGAAAAGGAUAGUUUAACUCGAGAUUCUUUUUAUAAUUUGCUCCAAUAUAAUAUCUUUGGUGGAUUUAUGAUAUCUUGUCGUAUUAUUGUUUGCUAAUUGUAAUAUUUCAAUUAUGGAUCAGGUGCUGUUGUGGAGGUCAAAUGCAAAGCAGGCAGACACAUCAUCAAGGCUUACGGGGAAACUAAGAGCAAUGGAAAGUAUAGCAUUACAGUUAAGGACUUUGACUAUGCUAAAUAUGGCUCCAGGGUAUGCAAGGCUAGGUUACAUGCUCCACCUAAGAACUCACCCUUCAACAUACCCACUAAGCUAAACGAAGGAACCGACUUGAAGGUGAAAUCAAAGGACAAAUAUGAAGUUGUGCUUGAAGCUAAGCCAUUUGCCUAUGCUUCAAAGAAACAUUUUGAAGAAUGUGAAAAAUCCAAGCCUUCACCAACUCCCUACUAUUAUAAAUCACCACCACCUCCAUCACCGGUUUACAUAUACAAGUCUCCACCUCCACCAUCACCUACAUAUGUAUACAAGUCACCACCUCCACCAGUUCACCACUAUUCUCCUCCGUACUAUUACCAAUCCCCACCACCACCUUCACCAAAACCCAAUCCUCCAUAUUACUACCAAUCCCCACCUCCACCUUCACCAAAACCCAAGCCUCCGUACUACUACCAAUCUCCACCUCCACCAACACCAGUAGUAAAGCCACCUUACUACUACCAAUCUCCACCUCCACCAUCACCGGUACCCAAACCUCCAUACUACUACCAAUCACCACCUCCACCAUCACCAAAACCCAAGCCUCCAUACUACUACCAAUCCCCACCUCCACCAACACCAGUAGUAAAGCCACCUUACUACUACCAAUCUCCACCUCCACCAUCACCGGUACCCAAACCUCCAUACUACUACCAAUCACCACCUCCACCAUCACCAAAACCCAAGCCUCCAUACUACUACCAAUCCCCACCUCCUCCAUCACCAGUACCUAAGCCUCCAUACUACUACCAAUCUCCACCACCCCCAUCACCAGUACCCAAGCCUCCAUACUAUUACCAAUCUCCACCUCCACCUUCACCGAAACCCAAGCCUCCGUACUAUUACCAAUCCCCACCACCACCUUCACCAAAACCAAAGCCUCCGUACUAUUACCAAUCCCCACCUCCACCAUCGCCAGUACCCAAGCCUCCGUACUACUACCAAUCUCCGCCUCCACCAUCACCGGUACCUAAACCUCCAUACUACUACCAAUCUCCACCUCCACCAUCACCAGUAACAAAGCCUCCGUACUAUUACCAAUCUCCGCCUCCACCAUCACCGGUACCUAAACCUCCAUACUACUAUCAAUCUCCACCUCCACCUUCACCAAAACCCAAGCCUCCGUACUAUUACCAAUCCCCACCUCCACCUUCACCUAAACCCAAGCCUCCUUACUACUACCAAUCCCCACCUCCUCCGUCACCGGUGCCUAAACCUCCAUACUAUUACCAAUCUCCACCUCCACCAUCACCAUCACCCCCACCACCUUAUUAUUACCAUUCUCCUCCUCCACCAUCACCAUCUCCCCCUCCUCCUUACUACUAUAAGAGUCCUCCCCCACCAUCUCCAUCACCUCCUCCUCCAUACUAUUAUAAAUCUCCACCACCACCUAAAGAAUUGCCACACCCUCCUUACUAUUAUAAGUCACCACCCCCACCAUCACCAUCACCUCCUCAUCCAUACUAUUACAAAUCUCCUCCACCACCGUCACCAUCUCC